rnacentral:rRNA from 1 species
AUUGAACGCUGGCGGCAUGCCUUACACAUGCAAGUCGAACGGUAACAGGUCUUCAGAUGCUGACGAGUGGCGAACGGGUGAGUAAUACAUCGGAACGUGCCCGAUCGUGGGGGAUAACGAAGCGAAAGCUUUGCUAAUACCGCAUACGAUCUACGGAUGAAAGCAGGGGACCGCAAGGCCUUGCGCGAACGGAGCGGCCGAUGGCAGAUUAGGUAGUUGGUGGGAUAAAAGCUUACCAAGCCGACGAUCUGUAGCUGGUCUGAGAGGACGACCAGCCACACUGGGACUGAGACACGGCCCAGACUCCUACGGGAGGCAGCAGUGGGGAAUUUUGGACAAUGGGCGAAAGCCUGAUCCAGCCAUGCCGCGUGCAGGAUGAAGGCCUUCGGGUUGUAAACUGCUUUUGUACGGAACGAAAAGACUCUGGUUAAUACCUGGGGUCCAUGACGGUACCGUAAGAAUAAGCACCGGCUAACUACGUG